UACGUAGGGGGCUAGCGUUGUCCGGAAUCAUUGGGCGUAAAGCGCGUGUAGGCGGUCCGGUAAGUCCGCUGUGAAAGUCGGGGGCUCAACCCUCGGAUGCCGGUGGAUACUGUCGGGCUUGAGUACGGAAGAGGCGAGUGGAAUUCCUGGUGUAGCGGUGAAAUGCGCAGAUAUCAGGAGGAACACCAAUUGCGAAGGCAGCGCGCUGGGACGUUACUGACGCUGAGACGCGAAAGCGUGGGGAGCGAACAGG
rnacentral:rRNA from 1 species